GUGCUGCAUUUUGGACACAAACAGGUCCACAUUUUGACUUCUCCACCACUUAUGGAUCGUUGGCUACAACACGAGGUCAGACCAACCCUCUUCCACCUGCGGUUGACAUCUCAGAGUCUGUGACCGAUAUGACCUCCAGCAGCUUCGGACAUAGUUUCAGGUUUCAGAGUGGAGUACGGGCUCAUUGAGCAGGGACACAGCACUGGAUAGCCUGUGGUUCUUGAUGUGUCCUGCACGGCUACCUCUGUGAACAUUAAUGAGCUUCUCCCUGGUACACUGUUAAUGUCUGUGAUGUUACUGAGGGAGGCGAGGACAACCUCAUUCUUACUACCUGACAAACAACAGCACCUGAUGGUCUCAAAGAGCAUGAAGUGGAGGAAGUGGGAGAUCCAUCCAUCAUGAUCAGCUGGGAAAAACCACUGGCUGCCAUCACUGGUAAGCUAUGCUAACAUUUUCAGUCGCUGGCUACUGAACUCAUCGGCCUGCACACGGGUAACUGAGUGGUCGUCCUCU